rnacentral:rRNA from 1 species
GUCUUAAAGAUUUUAAUUUUAAGUCAAAUCUGCCCAAUGAUAUUUAUUUUUAAAUGGCUGCAGAAAUUUACUGUACAAAGGUAGCAUAAUAAUUUGUUUUUUAAUUUAAAACUAGAAUGAAAGAUUUAAUGAAAUAUAAACUUUUUCAAUUAAAUUUAUAUUUAAUUUUUUAUUUAAAUAAAAAAAUUUAAAUAAAUUUUAAAGACGAUAAGACCCUAUAGAAUUUUAUUUAUUAAUUUUUUUAUUAAAAAUUAAUAAAUUUAAUUGGGGUAAUAAAAAAAUUUAUUUAAUUUUUUUUAAAAAAUUACAUUUUAAUUGAUUAUUAAAUCUUAAUUUUUAAAUUAAAAAAAUUAAUUACCUUAGGGAUAACAGCAUAAUUUUUUUUUAAAGAUCUUAUUAAUAAAAAAGAUUAU